AACGUACGCUGGCGGCACGCCUAACACAUGCAAGUCGAACGAAGUAGCAAUACUUAGUGGCAGACGGGUGAGUAACAUGUAGGUAUCUGCCCUUUGGCCUGGAAUAACACGAGGAAACUUGUGCUAAUACCGGAUAAGUCUUUACGGAGAAAGCUUUAUGCACCAUUGGAUGAGCCUGCACUUGAUUAGUUUGUUGGUGGGGUAAUGGCCUACCAAGACUGUGAUCAAUAGCUGAUUUGAGAGGAUGAUCAGCCACAUUGGGACUGAGACACGGCCCAAACUCCUACGGGAGGCAGCAGUGGGGAAUCUUGCACAAUGGAGGAAACUCUGAUGCAGCGAUGCCGCGUGAGUGAAGAAGGCCUUUGGGUUGUAAAGCUCUUUCGUCGGGGAAGAAAAUGACUGUACCCGAAUAAGAAGGUCCGGCUAACUUCGUGCCAGCAGCCGCGGUAAUACGAAGGGACCUAGCGUAGUUCGGAAUUACUGGGCUUAAAGAGUUCGUAGGUGGUUGAAAUAGUUGGUGGUGAAAUCCCAGAGCUUAACUCUGGAACUGCCAUCAAAACUUUUCAGCUAGAGUAUGAUAGAGGAAAGCAGAAUUUCUAGUGUAGAGGUGAAAUUCGUAGAUAUUAGAAAGAAUACCAAUUGCGAAGGCAGCUUUCUGGAUCAUUACUGACACUGAGGAACGAAAGCAUGGGUAGCGAAGAGGAUUAGAUACCCUCGUAGUCCAUGCCGUAAACGAUGUGUGUUAGACGUUGGAAAUUUAUUUUCAGUGUCGCAGAGAAACCGAUAAACACACCGCCUGGGGAGUACGACCGCAAGGUUAAAACUCAAAUGAAUUGACGGGGACCCGCACAAGUAGUGGAGCAUGUGGUUUAAUUCGAAGAUACGCGCAGAACCUUACCAACACUUGACAUGUUCGUCGCGACUCUAAGAGAUUAGAGUUUUCGGUUCGGCCGGACGAAACACAGGUGCUGCAUGGCUGUCGUCAGCUCGUGUCGUGAGAUGUUGGGUUAAGUCCCGCAACGAGCGCAACCCUCACUUUUAGUUGCCAUCAUUAAGUUGGGCACUCUGAAAGAACUGCCAGUGAUAAGCUGGAGGAAGGUGAGGAUGACGUCAAGUCCUCAUGGCCCUUACGUGUUGGGCUACACACGUGCUACAAUGGUAUCUACAACAGGAAGCAAGACUGCGAAGUUAAGCAAAUCCCUAAAAGAUACCUCAGUUCGGAUUGCACUCUGCAACUCGAGUGCAUGAAGCUGGAAUUACUAGUAAUCGUGGAUCAGCGUGCCACGGUGAAUGCGUUCCCGGGUCU
rnacentral:rRNA from 1 species